rnacentral:rRNA from 1 species
CAAUAGCGUAUAUUAAAGUUGUUGCAGUUAAAAAGCUCGUAGUUGGAUUUCUGGUUGAAGCGACCGGUCGGGCGUUGAUUCGUCUGCACUGGAGUCGGUUUUGGCCAUCCUCUAGGAAAGUGCGUCUGGUAUUAAGUUAUCGGGCGUAUGAUCCUGGUCUUUUACUGUGAAAAAAUUAGAGUGUUUAAAGCAGGCCCUCGCCUUGAAUACAUUAGCAUGGAAUAAUAAGAUAGGACUUUGGUCUAUUUUGUUGGUUUGCAGACCGAAGUAAUGAUUAAUAGGGAUAGUUGGGGGUAUUUAUAUUCCGAUGUCAGAGGUGAAAUUCUUAGAUUUUCGGAAGAUAAACUUAUGCGAAAGCAUUUACCAAGGAUGUUUUCAUUA